rnacentral:misc_RNA from 1 species
UUGGCAUGCCAUUGAACAACUUGAACGUUUUUCUCACUGUGCUUCUGUGGUUGCUGUAAGAUUUAGGUUGACGAUCUGUCGAACACUGUGAACGAGACACAGUUCCACAUACUAUAUAAUUCUUGCUAAGAUUCUUUGAUCUUCGACUUGAAAUGACGUUGCGUGAUCCAUGCCUUCUCCAUUUAAAGUUCUCUCUCCCAUAUUCGUCAUUAUCUUCGACACAGCUGUUGGAAGAGCUGCAAUUUCUCCCAUCAGACCAGGAGUCUCCCAUUGCCAUAUCUUCUCCUGCAGGCCUGCAGGCACCAGAUGAGAACCUCUCUACCCAAUCAAUGUUGCUCAAACUUGGCAACCUUUCGAGGUUAAGAGGCUCUUCCAAGCUUGACAUUGUUGAAGGGGAGGAAACUACAGGAACCUGAAAUCAAGAAAAGGGUCAAACAAGAAUAAAAAAACUCCAACUUUUCUGGGGUUUUCUCAGCUAAUCUUUCCUCUUCUGGUUAUGGGGUUUUUCUUAAAAACACAGAAGUAGAGAAAGAGAAGGAGAAAGGGUACCUACCCCACAAAGGAAACGUGAUG